rnacentral:rRNA from 1 species
AACAGCGGAGAGUUUGAUCCUGGCUCAGGAUGAACGCUAGCGACAGGCUUAACACAUGCAAGUCGAGGGGCAGCAGGGGAGGAGCAAUCCUCCCGCUGGCGACCGGCGCACGGGUGAGUAACACGUAUGGAACCUGCCCGCAGCAGGGGGAUAAGCGGAAGAAAUUCCGUCUAAUACCGCGUAACAACCUGAGGAGGCAUCUCCUUGGGUUUAAAGAUUUAGCGGCUGCGGAUGGCCAUGCGGCGCAUUAGCUAGUCGGCGGGGUAACGGCCCACCGAGGCGACGAUGCGUAGGGGUUCUGAGAGGAAGGCCCCCCACACUGGUACUGAGACACGGACCAGACUCCUACGGGAGG